CGGUGGAAGUUGGAGGAGAGGCACGCGCAUACAGUACGGUGGAAGGGAAAGGAGCAGUUGUGGGUUAAAUUCAAUUGUGGUUCUGCAGCAUCUUUUUUGAGAAGACGUCUCUUGCACGAGCACCAUCUCCGUGUCUUCGUCUCCGAUGAUGGAGGAACCGACGACUUUGUUUGUGCUGGUGAUAUCGUUGCUUCUUGGGGUAACGGAUCGAGGCGGAAUAUCCGUAGUCACUGGCUCUACGAUCAUCAAAGGACAUAAUGUCCUAACCACUUUAGUGCAGGGAGAUCGAAGUUUAUCGGCGCCUUCCUUCGAUCGACGAUCUUUCAUCUCUGGUAACCCUUACUUCGGUCAAGAAACCUCGAGAAAUAUCCGAGGCAUCCAGAAGGUUCCUCUCCAAUCUUACAUGUCCACGGGUCAGGUUCCUGAUAGAGGGUACUCCUUCGGCAGACGCAACCCGCAAGGAACCGCCUUUUCGCAACCAGCCGCCCUCGCAUCUUCUUCUUCUUCUUCUUCUUGCGGUGACGGGCAAGUCCUCCGAGCAGACAGGCAGUGCGUGACGCCCAGAAUCACACGGAAUAUAUAUUUCUUCAACGCCCCCACCCGGAGGAAUGCUGUGACGCGUCCCAUUCCAAAUCUCCCCCUGCCGAAGGUCAUCGAAAACAUCCUGUUGGUGAAGCUCCCACCUAAGAGUAGAGAAUCCGUAGUAGUGCCUCUCAAAGAACAGAAACAUUACGUCUUCUUCUUGAACAGAGCCGCUGAUGCGGGGAGAGACAAAGCUGUCAGCGCUCGUCCGCAGCUACCUACCGUGAAACCCGAGGUGUACUUCGUCAGGUACAACAGUCAAGAGCAGGAUCCCGGUGGUUUAGGGGGUCGUGGCGGGGCGAACCUCAACGACGUGCAACAAUCGGGUGGUUAUGUCAAUUCUCGCGAUUUGUUUACAACGAAUGGACAGAACAGUGAACCCUUUUUCAUCACCGGUGGGGGUGGGGGUCUGCAAGGCAUAAACAACAACAUUGGUUAUAAAUAACAACAAAGAAAGUAUAAAUAAAAGGAAGUCUGAUGUAGACUUCUUAUCAGUUGAAAUAUCUUUUUUUAUUGUGUAUGAAUGUUUUAUUUCUUUUCCUUUUUAGCGAGUCUUUUGUUGACUGAAUGUUUCUUUAGAGUUCUUGUUUUCCUUGUAGAAAGACUAUACUGCAUGUUCGUUAGAUUUAUGAUAUUGUUAAAAACCUGUUAAAUAGAAUAGUUAAUCUAAUUAUAAUAUUUAUGUCGAA